UCUUAAUUUUAUUUUUCCUUUCUUAAGUUCUUUCUUGUGGUAAACAACAUACAUACAGCAAGCAUCGGUGAAUACCACAGAGUACUUUUUAUACACAGUGUUUGGCUAUGAUUUGGCUUGCAGCCAAUCGAACGACAAAUCUUGUAGAGAUUUCAAUGAUUGAAUGGUGUUUCCUCAAAACGCUAGCCUGGAAAAAAAUUUUUUUUUUGUCUAGUUGGAAGCCUCUGCCGUGCACGCCACCAACAAAGAAGUUCCGCCAAGCGAUGUGUCGUUUCCAUACGAUAAUAUUAUUAUGAAGAAACCGAUUGAAAAUAAUUCUACCAAGCGAGCAAAUAUCAGUUCCAGGUUAGCCCGCUUCCAUUUUAGGGUUCAUCAUUCAUCACUUAACACCAGCGGUGAACAGAGUCAUUCGAUAACAUUGGUUGAUUGUACAUUGCUACUAGGUAUACUGAGUGAUAAAAUAAUUUCUCGCAGAAAACCUUCAAUGGAUUAAAAAUAAAUGUCAAAUGAGCUCGGUGGUUAUCACUCAGCGUUGAACACAGAGUUAGCGAAUAACAAAGUAGGCUCUUAGUAAAC